UUCCUAGAAACAGAGAAACAUAUCCAGAUCGAGAUAGGGAGAAAGAGAAAGGGAGAAUCAGAAAGUGAUUGCGGGCUUUCAACUUCCGAUCUAAAUCCAUUGAGGGAUAAAUAAACAUCAAAUUUGUAAGAUUAUUAGGUUUCUGAUACAGUUUAAUGGGCUCAAGUGAAACUCUUCAUGAAUAUCUCUUCAAGCUUAGUUCAGUAAAAAUCUAUUUGAUCUUCAAUUUGUAACGCCAAACAGGUUUGAUUCUCAUUUUUUGUGUUUUCAUUCUAUUUUUUGCCUUCUCCAAUUUUGCUCACAGUUUUGGUCAAUUUUUAUGGGAAAUAAUUAUUAUUGUUAGUCAAGUUUGUGUAGUUAACAUUUGAGUAGACUUUAAAUGAAACACUCAAAGAAAUAUUUAAUUUCGGAGCUCAAUCUUUAAUUAAGAAAAACUAAAUUCAUUAUAACUUUCAAUUUUAAGGUAAUCUGUGAUUAUUUACAUUUUAGUGGAUCCAUAGUAGUUUUACAAUAGGUUAUAGGUUAGUAUUUUAUGACAUUUCACCGUCAUAGUUUGGGAGGAUAUGAUGGAUAAGUGUAUAUAGAGAUUAUGGAAUAGAAACAAGAAUUUAGAUCACAGUAACUCACGGCAUAUGAUGAGAGGAGCAUUUCGUAAACUAUUCAGUACUUGUGCUAGAGUUAGCCGUGGCUAGGUUAUCUUUCCUGUUCGUUGUAAGGAUCAUACCAGCCGCAACAACGCUCAGGAAGCCAUUUGCCGUGCCAAAUUCAAGUAGCCUGGACGUCAAAAGAUCAUUGUCAGCAGGCAGUGGAGAUUCACAAAAUGCAUCCAUACCGAUUACGUGAAAAGGAAGUUAGAGAACAGAAUUGUUCCAAAUGGUGUCAAUCCUAAGGGCACCUUCUUCUAGACAAGGAUGACAUGUUUCUUGAGUGAGUCUGGGCAGCAGUAGAGGAAGAGGAGCGCCAAUCUGCUGCUGCGGAUAAUACUCACGCUGCUAAGGAUACCACUGCAACACCUGAGGAAUGCAAGAAAGCCAUCCAAAGUGUUGGGCCUGAGCUAAAAGAUGGCAGUCAUAAUAUGAUGGAGUUGUUACAGACGAGGUCACUGAACUGAAAUGGAUGGUAGCUCCGCUGUAGCGACAAAGGCAGAACCUGAGCAGAAACUAUUGGAAGCAAAGGGUUAUGGCAAGGCCUAUGAUUCUGUAGAAACUUUACCGCUUGUUAGUUCCCUCCCACCUCUACAUUCAAGAUUUAUCAUGUGAUAGAGUAAAACAACACAAGCAGACAAAACAUUGAGUACCAACAUCUUCAUUUGGUAUUUUAAAGGUUUCUUUGCUCAAUGGUUUUUCCCCA